GACGAACGCUGGCGGCGUGCUUAACACAUGCAAGUCGAACGGAAAGGCCCUGCUUUUGUGGGGUGCUCGAGUGGCGAACGGGUGAGUAACACGUGAGUAACCUGCCCUUGACUUUGGGAUAACUUCAGGAAACUGGGGCUAAUACCGGAUAGGAGCUCCUGCUGCAUGGUGGGGGUUGGAAAGUUUCGGCGGUUGGGGAUGGACUCGCGGCUUAUCAGCUUGUUGGUGGGGUAGUGGCUUACCAAGGCUUUGACGGGUAGCCGGCCUGAGAGGGUGACCGGCCACAUGGGAACUGAGAUACGGCCCAGACUCCUACGGGAGGAAGAGGUGGGGAAUAUUGCACAAUGGGCGGAAGCCUGAUGCAGCAACGCCGCGUGCGGGAUGACGGCCUUCGGGUGGUAAACCGCUUUCGCCUGUGACGAAGCGUGAGUGACGGUAAUGGGUAAAGAAGCACCGGCUAACUACGU
rnacentral:rRNA from 1 species